rnacentral:rRNA from 1 species
UACGUAGGGCGCAAGCGUUGUCCGGAAUUAUUGGGCGUAAAGAGCUCGUAGGCGGCUUGUCACGUCGGGUGUGAAAGACCGGGGCUUAACCCCGGUUCUGCUUCCGGUACGGGCAUGCUGGAGUGUGGCAGGGGAGACUGGAAUUCCUGGUGUAGCGGUGGAAUGCGCAGAUAUCAGGAGGAACACCGGUGGCGAAGGCGGGUCUCUGGGCCAUUACUGACGCUGAGGAGCGAAAGCGUGGGGAGCGAACAGG